UACAGAGACCACAAGCGUUACUCGGAUUCACUGGGCGUAAAGGGUGCGUAGGCGGUUAGAUGUGUCAUGUGUGAAAUUUCGGGGCUUAACCCCGAAGCUGCGCGUGAAACUAUCUAGCUAGAGUAUUGGAGAGGGAUGCGGAAUUCCAGGUGUAGCGGUGAAAUGCGUAGAUAUCUGGAGGAACACCGGUGGCGAAGGCGGCAUCCUGGACCGGUAUUGACGCUGAGGCGCGAAAGCCAGGGGAGCAAACGGGG
rnacentral:rRNA from 1 species